CUCCCCCCAGGGAGAGGCUCAGCGUUCUGGGCCCCUUCUGUAGCCCCAUUUCAUCAGGUGAAAUUCAACUAUCUGGGAUCUAAAUAAACUGCCGAACAACUGUGGAGACAGCAUGUCCUGACAGUGCACAGGAUGAAGACUGAAGCAGAGAGGCGCGGCUUCAGGACUGUCGGCACGGGUCCCGCCUGGGUAGACCCAGCUAAUCAGUGUGCCUGAUAGAAGGUCUGGGAGAGAAUGCCCACUUGCUGCACAUCUCUUAGUAGAGGGACAAGCUCGAGGACCGUUAUCAUGACAUCAGCAAAGCACUCACCCAAGUAGACACCUCUAAAAAUGGCUCCACAUCCCUGUGCAAGAUGCAGCAAGCGCUGCAGGCCUGUGGCUGUUCUCUCAAGGAAAAGGAGCUGGCCAAUCUUCUCGACAGUUGGGGAAUCAGCUGGCGUGAUAACUGUGUCAAUUACCUUGACUUCUUGAGAAGGGUGGAGAACAGCCAACCAACAAGACCUCAGCCAAAAGAAAAAGAAGACAGUAUGCCAGUCAAUUUUGCCACCCUAAAUCUAGAGAUUGUGAAAAGCAUCCAGGAAGUGGUUGCCUCCUCUGAUCUGGCUUUGUCAACGGCAUUUUCUGAAUUGGAUAAAGAGGACACUGGAUUUGUAAAGGCUUCAGAUUUUAGACAAGUUCUCAAGGACUUCUAUUCCAAACUAACGGAUAAUCAGUAUCGUUACUUUUUGAGAAAA